CCUACGGUGGUCAGCAGUGAGGAAUAUUGGUCAAUGGCCGGAAGGCUGAACCAGCCAUGCCGCGUGAAGGAUGACUGCCCUACGGGUUGUAAACUUCUUUUAUAAAGGAAUAAAGUGAGGCACGUGUGCCUUUUUGUAUGUACUUUAUGAAUAAGGAUCGGCUAACUCCGUGCCAGCAGCCGCGGUAAUACGGAGGAUUCGAUCGUUAUCCGGCUUUAUUGGGUUUAAAGGGAGCGUAGAUGGGUUGUUAAGUCAGUUGUGAAAGUUUGCGGCUCAACCGUAAAAUUGCAAUUGAUACUGGCAGUCUUGAGUACAGUUGGGGUAGGCGGAAUUCGUGGUGUAGCGGUGAAAUGCUUAGAUAUCACGAAGAACUCCGAUUGCGAAGGCAGCUUACUAAACUGCCACUGACAUUGAUGCUCGAAAGUGUGGGUAUCAAACAGGAUUAGAUACCCUUGUAGC
rnacentral:rRNA from 1 species